CAAAUCCUCCAGCAGUACUGCCCUGCCAGAGUGCCUGAAUCCUUUAUGAGUCAACCUGAAGCUGUCAGAUAAAACCAGUGAUGGCCUGUCACCCGGAUAAAAAGUGCUAACCAGACACAGCCAAUCGGAGCUAGGAGGCAGGUCUUGAUGUCACUCAUGUCUCUGUGUGGUGCUGCUCAACCCCUGACACAGCUGCAGAUACAGGCGAGCAUAAAAGAGCAGCGCUGCGUGGCGGAGGUGGCGAGGAAGGUGACGACUAAAAGCCUGAUCAAACAAGGCCGACGCGAGCAGCUCACUCAAGUGGUCUGCAUUUAUGCUCCACUCAUACCACACACAGACUGGAAAUAGGCAAAUGUGGAGUAAUAUCCUGCUGAAUCAAACACCGACAGCUCCACUCUGUCGGCAGCUGAAGCUGAACAACCCUCAGCGUAUGAACAAAUGAGCCCACUUCUGCCCUCUGCUUCACUCUAUUAUAGCCCACGUAAUAAGAGUUAGUCCUAUUUUAUCUUAAAACAAACUCUAAAUUUGUCACGUUUUGUCAGAUCAACUCAACUUUGCUGAUAUUCCUCUAUUUCUUAUUUAAAACAAGUUUUGAGGGGAAGCCUGGGUAAUGUACGACGAAGUACGAGGGUCACCGUAGAGAUCAGAAAAAAAGUGCAUUUCAACCAAAACACUAUUAUUUUAUUUCAAAAAUUAUUAGUGUCGACAUUGAUGAUUAUGAUUUAGGUUUUUAUUUUAAAUUUCUGAAAUAAAUGCUGAUGCUAACAGUAGUUCAUUGCAGCCAUUUGCUAAAUGCAUCACAGAAAUCAGCCUAAAUUAGCUAAAACAGGUGAUCAGGUUUUGUCAACUUAUUUGCUUAAUAAAAUCGUCCCUAAGUUGUCUAUGUAGAAUUUCUAAAGGCAAUAAAAAAAAUGUAAAUGCAAAAACUUUCUGGUGUCAUGUUUUUCCUUUUGUUUACCUCACUUAUACAGAUAUCCUCAGUGUUUUACUGUUUCCAUUCUCACCAUGACUGAGAGCAGGUUUGUGCGACUCCAGCAGGAGUGUUUCAUUAUCAGGCUCCUCAGGGGAGGAACCUGCUGAGGCUUCUCACUGUGGACACCACUCUUUUUUUCCCUCUCGUCGUACAGGGAAAAAACAUUUCGAUCAGAAGCUGCAGCGCAUACUCACUGUGCUUUAAUUGCAUCAAAGUUUCUGCACAGGCAAACUGAGAAAGGAACGCAGGGAGCACAGGAGGUUAUGCACUGAGUGACAGAGCCCUGCAGGCCUAAACGACAGAAAGUCUGCCGUGCCUGGGAGGGCCUAAUGAAGACUGAUUCACAGGACUGCAUUGCUCAAUAAACACUAACUACAGCAGGUGAGGAGGGGAGCACA